UUUGUUGUUUUGUUAUUUGUAUUUACAUUGUAUUUCUCUGUUUUUAAGUUCUGGUUUUGAAGUAUUUUUCUUGUUUCCUACCUUGUUUUUACAGAUGGAUCAAAUCCAAAAUCUGAUAGCUUUUCCCAGACAGUGAAUGAAGAGAAGGCAAGAUUGAGAUCGUAUAUAGGUUCAAGGCUGCCAAGGUGUGAGAGGAGAUGUAACUCAUGCAAGAGUUGCGAAGCCAUUCAUAGGCAAAUUUG